rnacentral:rRNA from 1 species
UCGCCAGACUCCUACGGGAGGCAGCAGUGGGGGAUAUUGCACAAUGGGGGAAACCCUGAUGCAGCGACGCCGCGUGUGGGAAGACGGUCCUCUGGAUUGUAAACCACUGUCCCCAGGGACGAAGAUGACGGUACCUGGGGAGGAAGCUCCGGCUAACUACGUGCCAGCAGCCGCGGUAAAACGUAGGGGGCGAGCGUUGUCCGGAAUGACUGGGCGUAAAGGGUGCGUAGGCGGCAUAAUAAGUUAGAAGUGAAAUACCCAGAGCUUAACUCGGGUGCUGCUUCUAAGACUGUUGAGCUUGAGUGCGGGAGAGGUUAAUGGAAUUCCUAGUGUAGCGGUGGAAUGCGUAGAUAUUAGGAGGAACACCAGAGGCGAAGGCGAUUAACUGGACCGUAACUGACGCUGAGGCACGAAAGUGUGGGUAGCAAACAGGAUUAGAUACCCCUGUACA